GCAUCUGCAUUUCGUGUUCAUUCUCUCUUGAGUUCAAAUUUGAAGAUGGUGGUCGCAAGUUUCUCCAGGAGCUGCUGGACUUCAAAAUAAUUGAUUUCAAGAUUACGUAACGUUGAACAGCAAGUCCAGCCAACCUUGAAGAGAAACCCGACAUUUUUUAACGGAAGGAGACCUGGACAAUCUUGAGAAGAACGUACCUUUGUUUUGAUGGAAUGUCACCGUGUCAGUCAGUGUGUUGCUGAAUAUCUUAUUGGAAAUAAUGAUAUAAUAUAAUAAAUAGUUUAAUCUGUUGA